GUUGACCUCGGAUCAGGUAGGAAUACCCGCUGAACUUAAGCAUAUCAAUAAGCGGAGGAAAAGAAACCAACAGGGAUUGCCUCAGUAACGGCGAGUGAAGCGGCAACAGCUCAAAUUUGAAAUCUGGCCCCCCGGCCCGAGUUGUAAUUUGCAGAGGAUGCUUUUGGCGAGGUGCCUUCCGAGUUCCCUGGAACGGGACGCCAUAGAGGGUGAGAGCCCCGUCUGGUCGGACACCGAGCCUCUGUAAAGCUCCUUCGACGAGUCGAGUAGUUUGGGAAUGCUGCUCAAAAUGGGAGGUAUAUGUCUUCUAAAGCUAAAUACCGGCCAGAGACCGAUAGCGCACAAGUAGAGUGAUCGAAAGAUGAAAAGCACUUUGAAAAGAGAGUUAAAUAGCACGUGAAAUUGUUGAAAGGGAAGCGUUUAUGACCAGACUUGGCCCGGUUGAUCAUCCAGCGUUCUCGCUGGUGCACUCUGCCGGUCCAGGCCAGCAUCAGUUCGCCGCGGGGGAAAAAGGCUUCGGGAAUGUGGCUCCCUCCGGGGAGUGUUAUAGCCCGUUGCGUAAUACCCUGCGGUGGACUGAGGUCCGCGCUCUGCAAGGAUGCUGGCGUAAUGGUCAUCAACGAC
rnacentral:rRNA from 1 species